UACUGGCGUUCCUUCUCUUUCCUCUCAAGCUAGCUUUCGUCAUUCAUCAAUUCGUGUUUUUGGUGAUAUUAAAGUGGAAAUUUGUUGGACAACCGCAAGCUUGACACAAUUUGCAUUGAUUUUCUUCUCUAAAUCCUCAGUUGUUAGCACAUUCACAAUUGAUUAUUAGUUGUAUUAGAGAACUUGUAAAUGUUGUAAUGUAAUUUUUUUCUUUAUGAAUUCAGUUACUUCGUAUUAUUGUAAUUGAAAUACAUGUAUUUUAAAGUUA